UUUGGAGAGAUUGAAAAAUUCAACAACUGAAAUCCUUGGUUCCUUACAUGAGUUGGCCACCACUCGAUGUUGCACACUUUGGUACUCCCCAUUCGACACUAUCUGCAAUGCCAUGCAUAUAUAUGUAAACGGACAAACACAAACAGAAUUGUCAGAAUUUAUCACUUCCCGAAGGAGAUUUUCUCUAACUAAGCACGUUUUUGUAGCUAAAAAUGAAACUAAUUUUUUAGUAACAAAUGGUUGGUCUUUAACUUAUGAUUGCAAGUUUUUCAAAUCAAAUGUGAGAAAGCCACACCAAAAUACUGUUUAGUAUAUAUAUAUAUAUAUAUAUAUAUAAAAGUUUAUAUUCGAUAUAUUAUUAAUAUAUAAAUUUUAUAUAUUAUUAAUUAAUCAAAUAAAUAAUAAUAAUAAUUUAUUAAUAAAUAAAUAUUAAUUUUUAAAAUAAAUAUAUACAAAUUAAAAUUACAUAUUAAUUUUUAAAAUAAUUAUAUAUAAAUUUUUAAAUAUAUAUUUAUUAAUUAAAUAUAUAUUUCUUUUAUUUUAUUAAUAAAUUAUCAUUAUCUAUUUAUUGAUAAAAUAUAUAAUUUAUAUACAUAUAAUAUAUUAAAUAUAACAUUCAUACUAAUAAAAGGAUAAUAUAAUAUAAUACUCCAUGUGUUUGGUGUCAGCAUUUGACCGACAUUUUCCUGCUCUACAAUUAAAAGGAUUUGACAAAUUUGGAUCUCUUUGAAAAAAAUUAUCAAGUAAAGCUUAAAAAUCUCUGACAUAAUGAUUUAAUAAAAAUAAGACAAAUUAAGUUUUUGUUGUUUAAUAAAUGUUGAUCAAAUUCUUACAUUAUUAUUUUUAAUUGGCCCAACUCUUUCUAAAGUAUAAUGGAAAUACAGAUUGAUGAAAUUGAAGUAUAAUAUACCUUUGAAAGAGUUAAAUGAAAUGUUAAAAUGCAAUUAUAUAUAUUUUGGAAUUAUGAUCGUCACCUGAAGAAAGUCACCAACAUUGAUAAUGAGACCACCAUGCACAGGCUUCACAUCCACCCACUCAUCAUCAUGCCGAACCUGCAACCCUUGAAUCUGAUUCUGCAACAGCACCGUCAGCAGUCCU
rnacentral:lncRNA from 1 species